UACGUAGGGGGCGAGCGUUGUCCGGAUUUAUUGGGCGUAAAGAGCGUGUAGGCGGUUCGGUAAGUCUGUCGUGAAAUCCUGAGGCUCAACCUCGGGCGUGCGAUGGAUACUGCCGGGCUAGAGGAUGGUAGAGGCGAGUGGAAUUCCCGGUGUAGCGGUGAAAUGCGCAGAUAUCAGGAGGAACACCGGUGGCGAAGGCGGUUCUCUGGGCCUUACCUGACGCUGAGGAGCGAAAGCAUGGGGAGCAAACGGG
rnacentral:rRNA from 1 species